AGGAUGUCAGCUCUUCCUUUGCAAUCAGCUGACAGUAAUGUUUGUUUUGAUGAGCCCAGGGCCUGCCACGUGCUUGGUAUUCAGUAGAUGGUGUACACUCUUAAAAGUACCCACUGAGCUAGGACCAGUCAGUGUGAAUGUAAGUUGACUCAUCCUCACCCCUCCCUCCAGGAACAGCCUGGAGAAACCGGGGACUCGUUCAUACUGUGAAGAUGCAAUGAGAGGCUGGGAUGGCUGCAAGCCUCGGACGGCCCAUUGGUCCCAACUGGCCUCAUACAGAAAGCAAACCUUCAGCCUGAUUAAUACAAGAGGGGGACCAGGAAACCGAAGACAGCAAAACAAGGCAGAGAAGGCCUUGAGUCACAAAAGAAGCUACCUCACCAACGCUCAGGUUCCAAGAGCACCUGGCUCCCAGACUGAAGUUGACGCCCUGGGACAAGGCCUGGUUCCCCCUGCCUGACAGAAAGAUCUAAGGUCAUCAUACAAAGUGGCCAGCCCUAGAGAACACUACACUUAUGUUGGGCAAAGACAGCAUCCAGACCCUUCAGCCUGCCUCUGUUCAGUCAAGCAGAGAAGCUGAUGGACAGAGGAGAGUGGAGGCAGGGGAUUCAGUCUGUUCUGUUCCUUUCCAGCAGUCCACAUGGACAAUCUGAGUCCCCUUUCUGGCCUUCGUGGGCCAACCUGUCUUUGACUCAUCCCAGAUCCUGUGCUAUGCUUCAAGAGCAUGACCUGCGUGAAGACCCUGCGGUGCACAUACUCUAGAUGAUGUGGAGCACUUCGUAUUCCCAAGAGGGUACCCCUGUUACAGCAGUUAUCCAGACAGGCCGAUAUGUGGGUUUUCUGUAAUAAUUUGGUAGAUGAAGGGAAUCAGUCUACUGAACUAUUUAGAGGAGGCUAAAACACAUCUGAAUUUUGUAUUUGGAGGGGGUCAGGGUAUAUUUUGUUAACAAGGCUGAUCCACUGGGACUAAACCUCCUGCUUGUUGUAGACGUACCUGGGCCACAGAACGGCUGUAGGAAGACCAGCUUGCCAAAAUGAACAUCCUAAAUCAAAUUGCUGCCUGUGAGUUUCCAAUUGAUUUACACGGUGACAGGAUUAACUCAAUCACAAAAGUCCCAGCCCUCUGAGUUGAGAUAGGAUCUGUAAUAAAACUUGCCUCGUCUUCCUGCAGAGAGGGGAUUUCAUUACUCACUCAUCCCCACUCUCCAGAUGUCCAG
rnacentral:lncRNA from 1 species